rnacentral:RNase_P_RNA from 1 species
UCAGUUGGCUGGGCAGCCGCGCCUGUCAUAUGCUGAAAGGCGGCAGGUGAGGAAAGUCCGGGCUCCAUGGAAACACGGUGCCGGGUAACACCCGGCGGGGGCGACCCCAGGGAAAGUGCCACAGAAAGCAGACCGCCCCGUCUUCCGUCGCGCCGCGUCUCAAAAAGACCGGGCGCCAGGGAUGACGGGGUAAGGGUGAAAGGGUGGGGUAAGAGCCCACCGCGUCUCCGGCAACGGCGACGGCACGGUAAACCCCACCGGGAGCAAGACCGAAUAGGGACGGCGUGCCGGGCGAAAGUCCGGCGAUCUGUUUCCGGAUCAGCCGUCCGGGUAGGUUGCAAGAGGCGGGUGGCGACAUCCGUCCCAGAUGAAUGGCUGCCGCGUCGGGCGCAAGCCCGGCCAUACAGAACCCGGCUUACAGGCCAACUGACAUU